rnacentral:rRNA from 1 species
GACGAACCGUGCGAACGUUAUUCGGAAUCAUUGGGCUUAAAGGGCGCGUAGACGGAUGGCCGCGUCGAGUGCUGAAAUCCCCCGGCUCAACCGGGGAACGGGCCUCGAAACGGGUCGUCUCGAGUGGAGGAGGGGGACCUGGAACGUCCGGUGGAGCGGUGAAAUGCGUUGAGAUCGGACGGAACGCCGACGGCGAAAGCAAGGUCCUGGACUCCGACUGACGUUGAGGCGCGAAAGCCAGGGGAGCGAACGGG